AGUGAACGCUGGCGGUAGGCCUAACACAUGCAAGUCGAACGGCAGCACAGUAAGAGCUUGCUCUUACGGGUGGCGAGUGGCGGACGGGUGAGGAAUACAUCGGAAUCUACUUUUUCGUGGGGGAUAACGUAGGGAAACUUACGCUAAUACCGCAUACGACCUACGGGUGAAAGCAGUGGAUCUUCGGACCUUGCGCGAUUGAAUGAGCCGAUGUCGGAUUGGCUAGUUGGCGGGGUAAAGGCCCACCAAGGCGACGAUCCGUAGCUGGUCUGAGUGAAUGAUCAGCCACACUGGAACUGAGACACGGUCCAGACUCCUACGGGAAGCAGCAGUGGGGAAUAUUGGACAAUGGGCGCAAGCCUGAUCCAGCCAUACCGCGUGGGUGAAGAAGGCCUUCGGGUUGUAAAGCCCUUUUGUUGGGAAAGAAAAGCAGCAGGUUGAUACCCCGCUGUUCUGACGGUACCCAAAGAAUAAGCACCGGCUAACUUCGUG
rnacentral:rRNA from 1 species